GAGAUGAUCCAUGUGGCAAGCCUUCUCCAUGACGAUGUUUUGGAUGAUGCGGAAACAAGGCGUGGUAUACGGUCCCUGAACUCCUUUAUGGGUAACAAGGUUGCUGUGCUUGCUGGAGAUUUCUUAUUGUCCAGAGCAUGUGUAGCACUUGCAUCGCUGAAAGACGUUGAGGUCUUU